GAUGAGCGCUGGCGGUAUGCCUAACACAUGCAAGUCGUACGCCUCACUUCGGUGAGGAGUGGCGGACGGGUGAGUAACACGUUAGUACCUGCCCCAAAGUGGGGAAUAACUGCCCGAAAGGGUAGCUAAUACCCCAUAGUCUCCGGUUUAUCCGGAGUAAAGAUUUAUCGCUUUGGGAGGGGCUUGCGUUUGAUUAGCUAGUUGGUGAGGGUAAUGGCCCACAAGGCGACGAUCAAUAGCUGGAUCGAGAGGUUGACCAGCCACACUGGGACUGAGAUACGGCCCAGACUCCUACGGGAGGCAGCAGUGAGGAAUCUUCCACAAUGGGCGAAAGCCUGAUGGAGCAAUACCGCGUGCAGGAUGAAGCUUUUCGGAGUGUAAACUGCUUUUCUGAAGGAAGAUUAUGACGGUACUUCAGGAAUAAGGAUCGGCUAACUACGUG
rnacentral:rRNA from 1 species